rnacentral:rRNA from 1 species
UCCUACGGGAGGCAGCAGUGAGGAAUAUUGGUCAAUGGGCGAGAGCCUGAACCAGCCAAGUCGCGUGAAGGAUGGCGGCCCUACGGGUUGUAAACUUCUUUUGUCAGGGAGCAAUUGGGUCCACGCGUGGGCUUAGCGAGAGUACCUGAAGAAAAAGCAUCGGCUAACUACGUGCCAGCAGCCGCGGUAAUACGUAGGUGGCGAGCGUUAUCCGGAAUUAUUGGGCGUAAAGAGGGAGCAGGCGGCAGCUAAGGUCUGCGGUG